GAUGAACGCUGGCGGCGUGCUUAACACAUGCAAGUCGAACGGAAAGGCCCAAGCUUGCUUGGGUACUCGAGUGGCGAACGGGUGAGUAACACGUGGGUGAUCUGCCCUGCACUUCGGGAUAAGCCUGGGAAACUGGGUCUAAUACCGGAUAGGACCACAUUUUGGAUGGUGUGGUGGAAAGUUUUUCGGUGUGGGAUGAGCUCGCGGCCUAUCAGCUUGUUGGUGGGGUAAUGGCCUACCAAGGCGUCGACGGGUAGCCGGCCUGAGAGGGUGUACGGCCACAUUGGGACUGAGAUACGGCCCAGACUCCUACGGGAGGCAGCAGGGGGGAAUAUUGCACAAGGGGCGCAAGCCUGAUGCAGCGACGCCGCGGGGGGGAGGACGGCCUUCGGGUUGUAAACUCCUUUCGCUAGGGACGAAGCGUUAUGUGACGGUACCUGGAGAAGAAGCACCGGCUAACUACGUG
rnacentral:rRNA from 1 species